rnacentral:rRNA from 1 species
CACACUACCGUGAAUACGUACCCGGGUCUUGUACACACCGCCCGUCAAGCCACGAAGUUGGGGGCACCCGAAGUCCUUUUUGGCCUAAGGUGAAUCCGAUGAUUGGGGUU